rnacentral:misc_RNA from 1 species
AAAGUAGAGAGCUAAGGAAAGUGUUACGCGGACUGUUGCGGAUAAAAAUAAUUUUGUUUGUGUUCCGUGCGGGCCAAUUGGGGGCGCUCUUGAUUCGGACCAUUCUAAAAACUUCUAAAAACCAAAGAUCGUACGGUACAGCUUUGCUGAGCCCACCAACGUGCACCACUGGCACUAACACUAGGCGCCGGGCCUACAUGUGUACUGAGACGUUGAGGUCUGAGAAGCAACUUUGAGUUUGCAGUUGAAACCAGCUGCAAGUAAGGGUUCCACUCAGCAGUGAAGUCAAGGAACUAGAGUUUCAGAAUGCAGUCAUUUGCAGGGAAAGUUAUCCUUAUCAC